AUUGAACGCUGGCGGAAUGCUUUACACAUGCAAGUCGAACGGUAGAGGGGGCAACCCCUCGAGAGUGGCGAAAGGGUGAGUAAUAUAUCGGAACGUGCCCAGUCGUGGGGGAUAACGUAGCGAAAGUUACGCUAAUACCGCAUACGAUCUACGGAUGAAAGCGGGGGAUCGCAAGACCUCGCGCGAUUGGACCGGCCGAUAUCAGAUUAGGUAGUUGGUGGGGUAAAGGAUCACAAGCCAACGAUCUGUAGCUGGUCUGAGAGGACGACCAGCCACACUGGAACUGAGACACGGUCCAGACUCCUACGGGAGGCAGCAGUGGGGAAUUUUGGACAAUGGACGCAAGUCUGAUCCAGCCAUUCCGCGUGCAGGAUGAAGGCCCUCGGGUUGUAAACUGCUUUUGUACGGAACGAAAAGGUUUCCAUUAAUGCUGGGAGCUCAUGACGGUACCGUAAGAAUAAGCACCGGCUAACUACGUGCCAGCCGCCGCAGUAA
rnacentral:rRNA from 1 species